rnacentral:lncRNA from 1 species
CUGAAAUAUAUUUUGGUAUAUGAAGUUUGAAACUAAAUAUAUACUUUUAAAAAAUAUCCAGUGUCACUGUUUACAACAUCUACUGUAGAUUUAGCACACAUUUGAAAUGUUUUGGCCUUUUGUUUUUUGAGAGAAAAGGGAAAUGGAAUUAGGACUUAUUGCAUGUCUUUGAAAAGUGCAAUAUUUGACAGCACAUUAUAUUUCCCAUUCGCAUUUAACAUGUUAUUAUUAGUCAUUUAACUGACAGUCUCUUGUGAGUUCCCCCGUUGAUUUAUGAGUCCCUCUUUCUUAUAUAAAAGUUUAACAUUCAUUUACUUAGCAUGCAGUUUCAUGCAAAAAACAAAACAAAAACAGGUGUUAACUACCUGUUAGAUAAGCCUCACAGUUACAUUUGCAAGCUUUCAAUGAAUGCAUUUAGGGUCAAGCAAAAAAAAAAAGUCUAAAAUAUCCAGUUCAAUUAAAUAUAAGCAGAUGAUACCACACAGGAGAAAUAAACAUAGGGAAUUAUCAGGUCCAUUGGACCGUGCUCAUAACUGAACAUGUGAGACACCGCAAAAAACACUCUAACAACCCAGAAAGUCUGAAAUCUUGUGCAGCUGAGACCGCAAGUAGAAAUGGAUUUUGGAUGUGAUGUCUGUUGUAGAAACUCAGGAAGAAGAAAAGUCAAAGCAAGAUGACUAAUCUGUGGGCCCUGGAUGUUUUUGUGCAAAGAUAAAUCAAGUGAAGCAACGUCAAGUCUCGUUAGUAAAUGAUGAAUCAGGUCGAAUAUUUUGCAAAUACGACCCGGAGCGGUUUCCUGGAAAAUCUUGACAUCAUUUACACAGCUGCUCAUGUAAACGGAUCAUCCUGAGCCUUUAUUACACUUGAGAGCCCUGCGGUGGAGUUUCCUACAAGUGGUCAGGCUUCAGCUUAGGAUCCGUCAGGGAGGUGAAGACCUCCCACUGGCGUCUGGGUAGAAACGGACCAAAGAUAGACAGCACUAAAUGCUGUGCUCAGUUUUCUGACAGCACCUCCCGACAGAUGAAAUCCAACCUUUAUGGCUCUGAAAUAUUAAUGUCGAUGCUCAAUGUCUUUUCACUCUGUAAGUAUGCCAUGCUUUGUUCAUCUUGUUUCAAUUUCCCUUAGUGAACAUCCCACCCGUUUUUAAGAUAAUGAGGCAGAUCAUCACUCUUUUGGAAUUUU